rnacentral:rRNA from 1 species
CCCAGACUCCUACGGGAGGCAGCAGUGGGGAAUAUUGCACAAUGGGGGAAACCCUGAUGCAGCGACGCCGCGUGAGUGAAGAAGUAUUUCGGUAUGUAAAGCUCUAUCAGCAAGGAAGAAAAUGACGGUACCUGACUAAGAAGCCCCGGCUAACUACGUGCCAGCAGCCGCGGUAAUACGUAGGGGGCAAGCGUUAUCCGGAUUUACUGGGUGUAAAGGGAGCGUAGACGGCAUGGCAAGUCAGAUGUGAAAGCCCGGGGCUCAACCCCGGGACUGCAUUUGAAACUGUCAGGCUGGAGUGCAGGAGAGGUAAGUGGAAUUCCUAGUGUAGCGGUGAAAUGCGUAGAUAUUAGGAGGAACACCAGUGGCGAAGGCGGAUUGCUGGACAGUAACUGACGCUGAGGCGCGAAAGCGUGGGGAGCAAACAGGAUUAGAUACCCCUGUA